GAUGAAGAACGUAGCGAAAUGCGAUAAGUAAUGUGAAUUGCAGAAUUCAGUGAAUCAUCGAAUCUUUGAACGCACCUUGCACCCUUUGGACUGCUCCAAAGGGUAUGCUCGUUUGAGUGUCAUUGUACUCUCACACUCUCUGAUCCUUUGGAUUUGCGGAGCGGUGGACUUGGGUGCUUGCUGCUUCCUUGUGGCUCACCUGAAAUGCAUCAGUGCAUCUCUCGAUUGGACAUAGCACGGCGUGAUAAGUGUCUUCGCCGGCACCUCAUAUGAGGGUGGCCGAUCGGGAGCUCUGUGCUUUCAAACCGUCUUCGGACAACGCUGACAACUUGACCUCAAAUCGAGUAGGACUACCCGCUGAACUUAAGCAUAUCAAUAAGCGGAGGA
rnacentral:misc_RNA from 1 species